AUUUAUUUAUUACAAAAAGUAUAUCAAGCUUCCAACUUGAAGAUUUAAUUAAAUUAAAAUAAAUA
rnacentral:tRNA from 2 species